UACAGAGGGUGCAAGCGUUAAUCGGAAUUACUGGGCGUAAAGCGUGCGUAGUCGGUUAUUUAAGUCGGGUGUGAAAUCCCCGGGCUCAACCUGGGAAUUGCAUUCGAUACUGGAUAGCUAGAGUUCGGCAGAGGGAAGCGGAAUUUCGGGUGUAGCGGUGAAAUGCGUAGAUAUCCGAAGGAACAUCAGUGGCGAAAGCGGCUUCCUGGACCAGAACUGACGAUCAGGCACGAAAGCGUGGGGAGCAAACAGG
rnacentral:rRNA from 1 species